rnacentral:rRNA from 1 species
AAUCAACGCUGGCGGCGUGCCUAACACAUGCAAGUCGAACGAGAAAGUGGAGCAAUCCAUGAGUAAGGUGGCGACCGGGUGAGUAACACGUGACUAACCUACCUCCGAGUGGGGAAUAACUCCGGGAAACCGGGGCUAAUACCGCAUAACAUCGCAAGAUCAAAGCAGCAAUGCGCUUGGAGAGGGGGUCGCGGCUGAUUAGCUAGUUGGUGAGGUAACGGCCCACCAAGGCGAAGAUCGGUAUCCGGCCUGAGAGGGCGCACGGACACACUGGAACUGAAACACGGUCCAGACUCCUACGGGAGGCAGCAGUGGGGAAUUUUGCGCAAUGGGGGAAACCCUGACGCAGCAACGCCGCGUGGAGGAUGAAGCCCUUUGGGGCGUAAACUCCUUUCGACCAAGACGAUAAUGACGGUACUGGUGGAAGAAGCACCGGCUAACUCUGUGCCAGCAGCCGCCGUAACAC